UUGCCAGCCCGCUCAGAAACUCAAAUGAAUUGACGGGGGCCCGCACAAGCGGUGGAGCAUGUGGUUUAAUUCGAUGAUACGCGAGGAACCUUACCUGGGCUCAAAUGUAUGUUGACGUAUUCUGAAAGGGAUACUUCUUCGGACAAUAUACAAGGUGCUGCAUGGUUGUCGUCAGCUCGUGCCGUGAGGUGUCGGGUUAAGUCCCAUAACGAGCGCAACCCCUAUCAUUAGUUGCCAUCAGGUCAAGCUGGGGACUCUAAUGAAACUGCCUACGCAAGUAGUGAGGAAGGUGGGGAUGACGUCAAAUCAGCACGGCCCUUACGUCCAGGGCUACACACGUGCUACAAUGGCCGGUACAAAGGGCAGCUACCUGGUGACAGGAUGCUAAUCUCAAAAGCCGGUCUCAGUUCGGAUCGGAGUCUGCAACCCGACUCCGUGAAGUUGGAUUCGCUAGUAAUCGCGCAUCAGCCACGGCGCGGUGAAUACGUUCCCGGGCCUU
rnacentral:rRNA from 1 species